rnacentral:lncRNA from 1 species
AUAAAACUACAGAAUCUGCUUUGCUGUUUUGCAGGAAAACUUAAGGGUUUUUGUUGUUGUUUUUUAGUUUUUUUUUAAAAUCUAAGGGGAUGAAAAGCAUACAAAAUUGUUUUAGCAUUGUGCCUAUGUUGCUGAGAAUCUCAAGGGUUUAUCUCUGCUUGCCAGGAUCUCCUGAGUAUUGCCGUGCUGUUAUGGUUGCUGCAUCACUGACUUGGCUGAUGGAACUGAGAACAGGCUUAAAAAUGCAGAGGAGCCACAAUAAGUUGUGAAUGGAAGGAUCUUUAAUGAGCACCUGGGAGGAUAAAAUCUGAAUUUGGAUUGAUCUUAAGGUGAAGAAUUAGGAUCAAGCAACCAAUGUAGCCUGCAAGGGUCUGCAUGCUGAACAUGUGAAACAAAAACCAGUCCAGUCUCAAAUGGAGUGUGCUCACCCAAUAUUGUCUCGCAGUGAAAACUCCGUGUCCUUGGAGCAGCUACUUCACAACUUCACAAAAGUUUCAUCAACAUACUCAAUAUUACAGGUGGCCUGUGCAUGGAGUUCUGAGGUCCGUAUCCCAUAGUGCUGCAGAAGGGUUCUCGUGGCUCCUCUCAUAGCCUGUGCAGUCUGCAGACGAUGGAUUGAUUUGAGCUUGCCUUCCUUCAGCUGGCUGACAAGGCCGUUCAGCUCUGAGUCCGUGGGAUCUGCCAGGUUAUGGCAUUGUCUUGAGGAAGAGCUGCUGCCAGUUUCUUGUUACCUCUCUGUUUUCCCUGCUGCAAGCUAACUAGAAGCCUGAUCUUCAAGAGAAGGAUGUGCAACUUCGUGUAAGCUGUGUAUUACCCAGCAACAGAAACGUUUCUGCACAGUAUAUGAAAAAAUAAUGUUCUUAUUGCAGAGAAGGAGCAUGUGUUAUGUUGGAAGGAGCUUCACAGAUCAUCAGAUCAUCUCAGAUUAAUAUUCUUCUGCUAUGAUGAAAUACUUUGUAAUAUUUUUAAUAUUUGGUUGUGUCAAAUUUAAGAACAUGAUAGGGAAACUUUGUCUAGAAGAUGUCAUUUAACAGUGGAAUGUGAUUGACUGUUUGGAACCUUAAAAAACUGAUGAAAUGGCACAGAGAAGGAGGUGAAAGCAGAUAACUGAUACAGCCAAGGCAUUAGUAGAGUCAAUACAAAAUGUGUCUGGAUGUGGGCAGGGACAUUUUCACAAGGCUUUUAGAGCAAAGAGGAAUUAUGUGAUUAGGAAGCUAGGGUCAAGAGUAUGGCCACAAGUUGCAUGAUGUGAAUGCAGAGAAGAGAACUGCUGUUAUAAACAGCAGACCAAAGGGAAGAGUGACAGCACCUGAAGUAGUCAGGUAGUCUAAUCAGUUAGUAGUCUAAUCUACCAAAUCAGUUAGGUCCAUCUUCUUGAUAUGAAAUAUGAAAAUGAAUUUGCAGAGAACCUUGUGGUCUUAAUCUAAAAUGUUUCUGUUCUUUCCUGGAGUCAAGGCCAAAAUGUUUUGCAUCAUUCCAAUUUCAGCCAUAGCAGAACUAACUUGUAAAUUUGGAUAAUGUACAUGGCAGGAAGAGUGUAACCCUGACAGACUUAACAAAAAGAUCCCCACACAUUAUUAGAAUAUUUACUCUUCAGUUACUACAGACUGUUCAGAACGGCCAUCUUUGUCUAACACUGAUUGUGACGUGUCUGCAAUUUACUGAAGUUAUCAGGAAGUUUUCAAUAGACGUGUCCUAUUUUCUCAGUCUCCUAGCAAUAAAAUGCCAUUAUGAAAUGCACGUAUUCCAUGUACUUGUAUGAAGAGCAUUUAAUAGAGUAAAUGGUAGAAGUGCAUUUGCAGUUUGUGUAAUGGCUACCAUGCAAGAACAAGCACAGCCAAAAGUGCAAUUUUGCUCAUCUGUGGGAUGUAUUUUACUUUACAGUUCUUUUGAAAGAUUCUUAUUGGCAUUUAAAAUAGAGGCUACAUUGGUCAUGAGUGUAAUUGCUUUAACUAUAGAUGUUCUUUUUAUAAUUUUCAUUUUUUUUUUAAUCAAGAAGAGUGAAAACAAACUUUGCAAACCAUCGGCUCCAUCGCCAACCGUUUGUAGACUUUCAGAGCUUGCAAUAAAUCUUGUUUGGCGUAGUAGGUGUACUUAACAUGGUGUUUGAGGAGAGAAAGGUGAACGCUUUUCUGCCUAGCUGACAUUAUCUACUCUGCAGUCAGUAACAGAAGGAGGAAGCACAUGUAAGAGAUGCUAAGUCGUCUUCUAUGAGUCCGUUUCUAUGCUGCAUCUGCCAGAUCCUAGCUUAGGUGUAUCUAAAAACAGAUUGUAUGAAUUACCCCUCCAAUAAUUCUUCAGUAUUUGUGUAAAUCUUUUUUCCAAGGAUCAGUCCUCUAACCAUCUUAAAAAGCCUAAUAUUGCUCCCUUUGAUAUGGAGAAGAGGUCAUUCCUGAAUGUGUUUCUAUUAAGAAUUUUUCUCUAAUUGUGCAAUGUACUGUUCCUUUUUUUGCUCAAUAAUGUCUGUGUAUUUCUGUUUAAUUUCUCUUUUGUGGUCUUCUAAUUAUCAAAAUGGACCUCGGUAUUGCCUUGGGCAACUUUCAAAGCCCCUUGUGAAUUGCAGGCUUGACAUUAAGGCAAUUAUAUAUAAAUUUUACUUUGCAAAUUUAAAAUAAUGCUGUCACAUACAUAUUUAUUUUAAUGUCCUAAUCCUACCAGCAUUUUUUUUUUCUUC